AUACGGAGGGUGCAAGCGUUACUCGGAAUCACUGGGCGUAAAGCGCGCGCAGGCGGCCAUUUAAGUUGGAUGUGAAAGCCUACGGCUCAACCGUAGAACUGCAUCCAAAACUAUUUGGCUAGAGUGUGUGAGAGGAAGAUGGAAUUAGUUGUGUAGGGGUAAAAUCCGUAGAGAUAACUAGGAAUACCAAAAGCGAAGGCAAUCUUCUGGAACAUUACUGACGCUGAGGCGCGAAAGCGUGGGGAGCAAACAGCAUUAGAAACCCCAGUAGUCC
rnacentral:rRNA from 1 species